GGAAGUAAAAGUCAUAACAAGGUUUCCGUAGGUGAACCUGCGGAAGGAUCAUUCGUAAUAAAGUGUUUUAUGGCACUUUUUAAAAAUCCAUAUCCACCUUGUGUGCAAUGUUAGAUCUCGUCAAUCUUGGCGAGAUUUUUAUACAUCAACUCAUUCUUUAACUAAUUUGACUGAAAAAUAUUAUGAAUACUUAAUUCAAAAUACAACUUUCAACAACGGAUCUCUUGGCUCUC
rnacentral:misc_RNA from 1 species